AUUAGAAAUAGAAAUUAUAAUGUUGUGUUUCAGGGUGUAUGUAAGGUAUUAAUUUUAGCUUGUUAACCAAUGAGUGCACUUUUCUUUUUCCUGCAACAACUUGCUCUCUCAGCUGGACUUCUUUCUAUCUAACCAGAUACUUUCAAGAUCUGGGAGCUUCAGGUUCCUUGCUCCCUUGGCUUUGCCGUUGAUAACUUCCUGUCCAAUCCUACCAAAGUCUGGAACUGGAACAUCCAAGGGUUGCCCUUAGACGCCUUCUCUACUGAGAAUGGCAUCAUCAUCAAGCGAGGCCAUAGGAAGAAGUGUUUAAACUAUAAACUGAGGAGGAGAAAAUAUCUAGGAAAAGAGAAGAAAGUUGGCAAAACCAUGGUCUCCUUCUUCCUGAAUUUGUAACUUGGCCUACAAAGAAAGCAUCAGUCCUACUACACAGGAAGAGUCAACACUCGGAGGAGGCCUUCUGCACUUUGUCCUCUCCUUCUUUUCACUCCUCAUAAUGGGAAAGAAAUAAAUAACAGGAUAUCCAGUUUAGACUGAGGAUCAGAGAAGUCCUCUCUGAGGAAGUGCCUCUUAAGAUGAUGGCUGAAGAAGGCAUAUGAGUUAGCCCAAUGGACAAUGAAAGGAAAAUUACUGUAUUACAAGCAGAAAAAAACAACAUGUGAAUGCCUGGAGGCCCUGAGGCCCUUAGGUGAGAAACUGCUUGUCUGCAUGUGGUUCAGAGAAAACAAAUUAUAUAAAACGAAGUUAGCAGCGUCGGAAAGGUUUGUUAAGGAUUUUUUGUUUUAAGAUUUUGUAAGACCACUCAGGCUAUUGUUUCGAGAAUGAAUCAGAGGCAGGAGUAGGGUUGGCGAGGAUGCAAAAGAGAUGGGGAUAUCUAAUAUUACUUUAGCAGACUCUCUCCUUUCUGUCACUUGUUAUCCUGUGAAGAUAUCACUUGCUGCCCAA
rnacentral:lncRNA from 1 species